AUUGAACGCUGGCGGCAUGCUUUACACAUGCAAGUCGAACGGUAACAGGUCUUCGGAUGCUGACGAGUGGCGAACGGGUGAGUAACGCAUCGGAACGUGCCCAGUCGUGGGGGAUAACGCAGCGAAAGCUGUGCUAAUACCGCAUACGAUCUAUGGAUGAAAGCGGGGGAUCGCAAGACCUCGCGCGAUUGGAGCGGCCGAUGUCAGAUUAGCUAGUUGGUGGGGUAAAGGCCCACCAAGGCGACGAUCUGUAGCUGGUCUGAGAGGACGACCAGCCACACUGGGACUGAGACACGGCCCAGACUCCUACGGGAGGCAGCAGUGGGGAAUUUUGGACAAUGGGCGAAAGCCUGAUCCAGCCAUGCCGCGUGUGUGAAGAAGGUCUUCGGAUUGUAAAGCACUUUAAGUUGGGAGGAAGGGCAGUAACCUAAUACGUUAUUGUUUUGACGUUACCGACAGAAUAAGCACCGGCUAACUUCGUGCCAGCAG
rnacentral:rRNA from 1 species